UCUGGCCCCACCCGAGUUCCCAGAGACACAGGCCGGGCACCAGCGAGCUGUGAGGAGAACGCAGGGUCCCAGGGGCCCAUCUCCUCCGCCUGACCUGCCCAGACACACCUGGGUGGCGCUGGGCUCUGAGGAGACAACAGGAAGGCUUUGUUCCUGGCCUGGCUGAGACUCUCUCCCGGCCACUCCAGGAAGAGACCUGCCCUUUCAGGGACUCAGUUUAUGGUGGAGGGAGGGGGACAGACAAUCAGCGCUCACCCUCAGCGGGACAAGCAGGAGUCAACAAGGCCGCGAGACCCCCACCAUGUCCCAGAGACCUGUGCCACCAGGCUUUUAUUUAUGAAGUGACAGCUGGAGGCCAUCGCUUACCGGGCUGGUGGGAUCAGGGGUGCGGCACUCACGGGCCUCCCUUGUGGCACAGGCCCCUCAGAGCAGGAGCCUGGGCCCCUGGGGAUGCCUUCCACCAACGCCUCCCAGGACUUAGGGCUCCUGGGCCAGACUCUCCACAGAAGCAGAUAGUUUUCGUCAGGGUCCAGACACCAAUGCAGAUCCACCCCAGAUGGUCAGCUCUCCCCGGUCACCGAAGUUUCACCGUCCCCUACGCGAAGGCCCUUCUCUUACCUUUGCUAGAGUAUCCACUACGCACACCAGCGGCUGCUUCGCAGGAUAUUUGGCCAUGUCCCACUCAAAGUGGGUCACGAAGGAUGUUAAGUCGACUGGAAGAAACACAUUUCAACAAAUGAGCGGGGCUCUCCCCACCUGGUGGAGACCAAGGACACACACCCCUGCUGGGUUAUUGUUCUGUUUUGAAGUACCUCCAAGAUAAGACUCGCCAGAGAGCCUCCAGCCAACCCUCCAAGACCACAGAGCCAGGUAGGGUGCCGCCUGCCCUCAGGGCGAGCUGCCUUCUCGCCUCCCUCGCCCAAGCCCUGGACGGAGUGGAUUUCCACACACGUGGUCUGUUUUAAAGAAGGCGUGUCGAACCCUGGCAAAAUCCUAGAAGCUGCGACUGCUGUUUUUACCACCCGGGGUGGGGGUGCCCUGGUCGCUGUAUGUCCUUUAUAUAAAAGUCUAUAUACAGGGAGUAGACGAAGUCGGUGUUUUCUCACCAUGCGUCCCUUCUCCCCUUACUUUCUCCAGAAACAAACCUGAACCUGCCGCCCUCGGGAGGUUUCUAGUUCCCUAAUCAGCCGCGGGCGGAGGAAGGAGCUCUGGAGUUUGAGGUCAGACAAGCCACACUGAGUGGCCCUGGGCUGAUCCCGAGACCCGGGGCCUCGAGCACAUUAGCAUCUAAGUCCCUUUGCACCUCAGUCUCCUGACCUGAGAAAUGGGGCAGGGAAAGGAGGCCACACGGCCCUCCGAGCGCCUCCUUUCCAGAUCAGCUCCAUGCACACUUAGGGAGUGCUCCCGGGGGCCAGCUGCUGGAGACACCCAGCCCAUUCUCCUUCCAGUAAGUCAGGUCAGCCCAUGCGAUGCUGACACAGCCCCCCAGGAUCCCGUGAGCCUGUGCAAGACCAGCCUUCCUAUGCUAGAUUCUCACCCCGGGAUACGUGCACGCCUGCCCUUCCCAGUACGUCCUUGGGCGGAUAAAAGGGACACUUUUGCUCACUCGAAGGUCAGUCACUUACGCUGAACGUCAGCGCGCUACCCUGAGGGGAGGAACAGACCACACCCCCUAAUUUCAAGGUGCUCAGUUUCUUAGAGAGACAGCCAGGCAAACGUCACACCACAGUGAGCGGCAACAGAGUGUAUCAGGGUGCUAAGGGUGGGAGAGACGGUGUCUAGCUCCCAGGGAGGGCACGGAGGGCGGCACACGGGAGCUGGAGGUGACCCGAGUUUGCCAUGUGGCCAGCGGGGGAGGGCGCUGGGUGUUAGCGGAGGGCGCCUGGGGGACAUCCUGUGUGGGGCAUGGGAAUCUCUGGGACAACCCGGUGGAGCAGGAGGGCCAGGGCAGGGUCAUGGAAGGCGGCAUCUGCACUUUCUCCCUGUGGCGAGCAAGACACUGGGGCGCAGCUACGGAGCCCCCCAUGAUGCGGCAGAGAUCGGCCCCACGUCGACUCCAACAGCGGGGCUGAAGAGGUCACCGAGCGGGCCGGGACACCAAGCAUCCAGCGGCUACGCAGCCAGUCAAGGGCACGCACACGCUGGGGUUUCUGGGGGCUUUGCGGGAGAGAGGUGCAGGCGUGGGAGACAAGAAGGCGCAGCUAAGAGGGGCCACAGCUCUGGGCGCAGAAAAGGGAGGGCUGGCCCAGCAGGGUGCAGGCACCAUGGGCCACCAAGGAGGCGAGGUGGAGGGAGGGGACAUGCAUUAAGCCGGGCAGCAUGGGACGGGGCAGAGGGGAGAGGAGGUGGGCUCAACCAGGGGCAAGUUCGAGGCUGAUGAUGACCGCAGGCGACUCCCCAGGAGGCACGUGGAAAUGAAACGGGGCUCGGAGGAGCGACCCAGCCCUGCCGGCAGAGGUAUGAGCGCACAGGAAGUUGAAAGCGCCUUAUAUAAGGACGCCGUCGCCGCCCAUGACAGCCGUGAGGGUGGGGGACGCUGACUGCCCACCUUGGCCAGGACACAGGAAUUACUUCAUUCAACCGAGCUUUCAACCCUAUUAAGUACUGUUAUCUUCCCCACCUUAGAGGUGAGGGUGGAUGGGCACAGGGUAGUUACCUAAGUAACACCCACUACGAGAUGAGACGGUGACCGCGGAGCACGUGAAGGACCACGGUCCCCCGCGGCCCGCCCACCGUCAGGUCACAGCUCCCCUGCGGGGGAGCAGGGGGCUCGUGGCCCAUCUGCGCAAGAACCACAUGCUGAUGCGUCUGGGUCACUCGCACCUAGAAGAUGGCCUUCAGAUUCCCAUGGUGCCGGAAUAGACAAGAGGCACCAAGGUGGGGCCCUGAUCGGAUAGGACAAGCGUCCUUAUAAGGAGAGACACCAGAGAUCGAUCCCUCUCUCUCUCUCCCUCCCCAUGGGCUCACACCAAGGACGCAGCAAAGGAACCAACCUCCCGGCAUCUUGACCUUGGACUUCCAGCUUCCAGAACUGCGGGAGAUAAAUGGCUGCUGUCCUCAAAGCGCAGUUGGGGGCAGAGGACAAGCAGAAACACGAGAUGCCGCAGCCAGGCUAGGAGCCCGUGAGGGGAUGAAGUCCACUGACAGGUCAUGAUCUCGAGGUCCGUGAGUUCGAGCCCCGCGUCGGGCUCUGUGCUGACAGCUCGGAGCCUGGAGCCUGCUUCGGAUUCUGUGUCUCCCUCUCUCUUUCCGCCCCUCCCCUGCUCAUGCUCUGUCUCUCUGUCUCAAAAAUAAAUAAAAACAUUUAAAAAAAAAUUUUAAGCUGAAUUUCCUCCUCCCGAGAUGAGAGGUGGCCGGCCCUCAGAGUAGCUGCCAUCUGCACUGGGGAUGGGGAUAGUGGAGUGAUGGCCUCUAGUUCUAAGUAACGUGAAUUUUGAGUAGAAUAUAAGCAUCCU